GGAGCUACCAUGCAGUCGAGCGGAACGAUGAUAGCUUGCUAUCAGGCGUCGAGCGGCGGACGGGUGAGUAAUACUUAGGAAUCUACCUAGUAGUGGGGGAUAGCUCGGGGAAACUCGAAUUAAUACCGCAUACGUCCUACGGGAGAAAGGGGGCAACUUGUUGCUCUCGCUAUUAGAUGAGCCUAAGUCGGAUUAGCUAGAUGGUGGGGUAAAGGCCUACCAUGGCGACGAUCUGUAGCUGGUCUGAGAGGAUGAUCAGCCACACCGGGACUGAGACACGGCCCGGACUCCUACGGGAGGCAGCAGUGGGGAAUAUUGGACAAUGGGGGGAACCCUGAUCCAGCCAUGCCGCGUGUGUGAAGAAGGCCUUUUGGUUGUAAAGCACUUUAAGCAGUGAAGAAGACUCUUCGGUUAAUACCCGGGGACGAUGACAUUAGCUGCAGAAUAAGCACCGGCUAACUCUGUGCCAGCAGCCGCGGUAAUACAGAGGGUGCAAGCGUUAAUCGGAAUUACUGGGCGUAAAGCGAGCGUAGGUGGCUUGAUAAGUCAGAUGUGAAAUCCCCGGGCUUAACCUGGGAACUGCAUCUGAAACUGUUAGGCUAGAGUAGGUGAGAGGGAAGUAGAAUUUCAGGUGUAGCGGUGAAAUGCGUAGAGAUCUGAAGGAAUACCGAUGGCGAAGGCAGCUUCCUGGCAUCAUACUGACACUGAGGCUCGAAAGCGUGGGUAGCAAACAGGAUUAGAUACCCUGGUAGUCCACGCCGUAAACGAUGUCUACUAGUCGUUGGGUCCCUUGAGGACUUAGUGACGCAGCUAACGCAAUAAGUAGACCGCCUGGGGAGUACGGCCGCAAGGUUAAAACUCAAAUGAAUUGACGGGGGCCCGCACAAGCGGUGGAGCAUGUGGUUUAAUUCGAUGCAACGCGAAGAACCUUACCUGGUCUUGACAUACACAGAAUCUUGUAGAGAUACGAGAGUGCCUUCGGGAAUUGUGAUACAGGUGCUGCAUGGCUGUCGUCAGCUCGUGUCGUGAA
rnacentral:rRNA from 1 species